GCUUGCUUCAGCAAGCACAUAUUAAAAACUGGAAUGAAACAGAAGAUUAGCAUGGCCUCUGCGCAAGGAUGACACGCAAUUUGUGAAGCGCUCUAUUUUUUU
ensembl:snRNA U6 U6 spliceosomal RNA